AAAAUUUGCUUUCCAUCCAACUCUUGAACGCAAAGAUCGGCGCCAUCAACAUUUUCAAAAUCGGCGAAAACUAGUCCAAGAGACAUCUUUUUUCCAUUUUUUUCCUCAAAUGGCAUAUAAAAUCCAUUUUCCUUAACCUUUCCAAUUUUAGCAAGGACUUUUGAGCUCAAAAAACGGAAGAAAUCUUGCUGCUUAGCUUCUUC